CGCGUUAAUGGGUUAAUGUAACAAACACAACGUAUCUUAAAGAGUUCAUAAUCUUACCAAAAAAAAUUUUUUUCAGAUUUUUUGCAAUAAUUAAAAUGAUGGGACGAAGAAAUUAAAAUGUAGCAAGUUGUUUCGGAACCAAAACUACUCGAGCACAGUUGAAGAUUAGAAACUUAUCUAUGAUCGAUUCAAAGUCAAUCAAAGGAUGAGGAGUAAAACGUAGAAGAAAGGAUACAAAGAAAGAAAGAUUAUAUUAAUUCAUCGAAUUCCAACUAAUAUAAAUGGAGAUUUUCAUGUACCAUUAAAGGAAAAUGCUAUGAUUUUGUUCAAUUGUACAUUAAAAAAUUAAUUUUACGAAAAAGUGAUCAAAACUUAUUUUCAAUUCACAUAUAAAUUGAUGAAUUAUCGGAUCAUGCUCAUAAACUAUUAAUACAAUUUCACUCAAACAAAUGUACUUUCAUGACAAGUUGUCAAUCAUUUCAAUCAAUAAAAAAAACUUCAAUGAA